ACGGGGGGGGGCAAGCGUUGUCCGGAUUUACUGGGCGUAAAGAGCGCGCAGGCGGUCGUUCAAGUCGAGUGUGAAAGCCCCCGGCUCAACUGGGGAGGGUCAUUCGAUACUGAUCGACUCGAAGGCAGGAGAGGGAAGUGGAACUCCCGGUGUAGUGGUGAAAUGCGUAGAUAUCGGGAGGAACACCAGUGGCGAAGGCGGCUUCCUGGCCUGUUCUUGACGCUGAGGCGCGAAAGCUAGGGUAGCAAAC
rnacentral:rRNA from 1 species